rnacentral:hammerhead_ribozyme from 1 species
AUUCAGCUGACAAGUCGCAAAUUGAACGAAACGUGUGUCCUGGAU